rnacentral:rRNA from 1 species
ACCAACAGGAUUGCCUCAGUAGCGGCGAGUGAAGCGGCAAGAGCUCAGAUUUGAAAUCGUGCUUUGCGGCACGAGUUGUAGAUUGCAGGUUGGAGUCUGUGUGGAAGGCGGUGUCCAAGUCCCUUGGAACAGGGCGCCCAGGAGGGUGAGAGCCCCGUGGGAUGCCGGCGGAAGCAGUGAGGCCCUUCUGACGAGUCGAGUUGUUUGGGAAUGCAGCUCCAAGCGGGUGGUAAAUUCCAUCUAAGGCUAAAUACUGGCGAGAGACCGAUAGCGAACAAGUACUGUGAAGGAAAGAUGAAAAGCACUUUGAAAAGAGAGUGAAACAGCACGUGAAAUUGUUGAAAGGGAAGGGUAUUGCGCCCGACAUGGGGAUUGCGCACCGCUGCCUCUCGUGGGCGGCGCUCUGGGCUUUCCCUGGGCCAGCAUCGGUUCUUGCUGCAGGAGAAGGGGUUUCUGGAACGUGGCUCUUCGGAGUGUUAUAGCCAGGGG